CCUACGGGGGGCUGCAGUGGGGAAUAUUGGACAAUGGGGUGAACCCUGAUCCAGCCAUGCCGCGUGUGUGAAGAAGGCCCUCGGGUUGUAAAGCACUUUCAGUGAGGAAGAACGCCUGGUGGUUAAUACCCAUCAGGAAAGACAUCACUCACAGAAGAAGCACCGGCUAACUCCGUGCCAGCAGCCGCGGUAAUACGGAGGGUGCGAGCGUUAAUCGGAAUUACUGGGCGUAAAGCGCGCGUAGGUGGCUUGAUAAGCCGGUUGUGAGAAGCCCCGGGCUCAACCUGGGAACGGCAUCCGGGUGUCGCGCGAGCGGGAAGGGGCGGAAGGUAGAUUCCACGGGGGAGCGGGGAAGUGCGGGGAGGUCGGGCGGAAUAGCAGUGAAGGAGGGGGACGUAAGGAGUGGCAUUGAACCUGGGGUGCGAUCGAGUGGAUAGCAUACCGGACGCGGGAGACCGCUGGUC
rnacentral:rRNA from 1 species